AUGUAGGGCAAAGACCAAAUUAAAAUCUUUCCCUGAUGCAUGGCACAGACCAUCAUGAAGUCUCAGUUAAAAGGAGCACAGACAGGUUCAAACCUCCUGAAGAAAAAAAAUCUGAUGCCUUAGCUCUUUGAUUUCAACAGAUCCUAAAGAAGAUAAUAGGGACUAAAAUGCUGAUGGGUGAAGUGAUGAGAGAAGCUGCCUUUUCUCUUGCUGAGGCCAAGUUCACAGCAGGGGACUUCAACACCACAGUUAUCCAAAAUGUAAAUAAAGCCCUAGUGAAGAUUCUAGCUAAGAAAGAUAAUGUAGCAGGUGUUACUUUGCCAGUGUUUGAACAUUACCAUGGAGGAAGUGACAGUUAUAAACUGACUGGUUUAGCCAGAGGUGGGAAAAAAUUGGCUGAAUUAAAGAGGAAUUAUGUCAAAGCAGUGGAAUUACUGGUGGAACUAGCUUCCCUUCAAACUUCCUUUGUUACUUUGGAUGAAGCUAUUAAGAUAACCAACAAGUGUGUAAAUGACAUUGAAUGUGCCAUCAUUCCCAGGAUUGAACAUAGUCUUGCUUAUAACAUCAGAGAGCUGGAUGAGAGAGAGCGAGAAGAGUUCUAUAGGUAAAAAAAGAAAUACAGAAGGAAAAGAUUCUCGAGGAAAAUUUGGAGAAAGACCCGGAGCAAUGGAAGGCAGCUGGAGAGGUGAUGGAUCCUGUUAAACUUUUGUCUGAAGAGAAGGAUGAGGCUCUUCUGUUUGAAUAAUUUUUCCUGUUCUGGUUCUUUCACAAGCCCUAACAUGGCACCAUUUUAACUCACAAUGUGUAGGUUUGGUACGUGUAGCUAUUUAUUUUUUGGCCUAAGAAUUUCAUUGGUGGUAAAAUUUCCCUGGGUGUUGGUCAUGGGAAUACCUUUGAAAAAUCAUAAUUCAGCAACCAUUUAUCAACAUGAGAUUUGUAGACACU